rnacentral:rRNA from 1 species
AACGAACGCUGGCGGCAUGCCUAACACAUGCAAGUCGAACGCCCCGCAAGGGGAGUGGCGGACGGGUGAGUAACACGUGGGAACCUGCCUUCUGGUUCGGAACAACUCCGGGAAACUGGAGCUAAUACCGGAUAAGCCCCGAGGGGGAAAGAUUUAUCGCCAGAAGAGGGGCCCGCGUCCGAUUAGGUAGUUGGUGGGGUAACGGCCUACCAAGCCGACGAUCGGUAGCUGGUCUGAGAGGAUGAUCAGCCACACUGGGACUGAGACACGGCCCAGACUCCUACGGGAGGCAGCAGUGGGGAAUAUUGGACAAUGGGCGCAAGCCUGAUCCAGCAAUGCCGCGUGAGUGAUGAAGGCCCUAGGGUUGUAAAGCUCUUUCGCACGCGACGAUGAUGACGGUAGCGUGAGAAGAAGCCCCGGCUAACUUCGUGCCAGCCGCCGCCGUAACAC